rnacentral:rRNA from 1 species
UACAGAGGGUGCGAGCGUUAAUCGGAAUUACUGGGCGUAAAGCGCACGUAGGUGGCUUUGCAAGUCGAUUGUGAAAUCCCCGGGCUCAACCUGGGAACUGCAGUCGAGACUGCUUUGCUUGAGUACUGAUGAGGUAGGCGGAAUGGACGGUGUAGCGGUGAAAUGCUUAGAUAUCGUCCAGAACACCGAUAGCGAAGGCAGCUUACUAAGGAGUAACUGACGCUGAGGCACGAAAGUGUGGGGAUCAAACAGG